rnacentral:rRNA from 1 species
CGUGAGAUGUUGGGUUAAGUCCCGCAACGAGCGCAACCCUUAAGCUUAGUUGCCAUCAUUAAGUUGGGCACUCUAAGUUGACUGCCGGUGACAAACCGGAGGAAGGGGGGGAUGACGUCAAAUCAUCAUGCCCCUUAUGAUUUGGGCUACACACGUGCUACAAUGGACAAUACAAAGGGCAGCGAAACCGCGAGGUCAAGCAAAUCCCAUAAAGUUGUUCUCAGUUCGGAUUGUAGUCUGCAACUCGACUACAUGAAGCUGGAAUCGCUAGUAAUCGUAGAUCAGCAUGCUACGGUGAAUACGUUCCCGGGUCUUGUACACACCGCCCGUCACACCACGAGAGUUUGUAACACCCGAAGCCGGUGGAGUAACCUUUUAGGAGCUAGCCGUCGAAGGGGGGACAAAUGAUUGGGGUGAAGUCGUAACAAGGUAGCCGUAUCGGAAGGUGCGGCUGGAUCACCUCCUUUCUAAGGA